rnacentral:rRNA from 1 species
UCCAGCUCCAAUGGCGUAUAUUAAAGUUGUUGCAGUUAAAAAGCUCGUAGUCGGAUUUUGGCAUCCUUCUUCCCUUUCUUCCUCUUUUUCCUUCCUUUUUGGCUUGUUCUUCCUUCCGGAGGCUCGUUCCCUUCUUCAUUGAAGGGUUCGUUGGUUCCGGGUCUUUUACUUUGAGAAAAUUAGAGUGUUCAAAGCAGGCCUAUGCUCUGAAUAGGUUAGCAUGGAAUAAUAGAAUAGGACUUUGGUUCUAUUUUGUUGGUUUCUAGGACCGAAGUAAUGAUUAAUAGGGACAGUUGGGGGCAUUCAUAUUCCAUUGUCAGAGGUGAAAUUCUUGGAUUAACGGAAGAUGAACUUCUGCGAAAGCAUCUGCCAAGGAUGUUUUCAUCA